UGCCGUGCGGCUCUCAGCGUAGUAAUUNUCUCGCUACAGGGUCCGGACGGUNCUGGCCAGCAACCCCAACUACAUAAGGUUGACCUCGGAUCAGGUAGGGAUACCCGCUGAACUUAAGCAUAUCAAUAAGCGGAGGAAAAGAAACCAACAGGGAUUACCUCAGUAACGGCGAGUGAAGCGGUAACAGCUCAAAUUUGAAAUCUGGCUCUUUCAGGGUCCGAGUUGUAAUUUGUAGAAGAUGCUUCGAGUGUGGUCCCGGUCUAAGUUCCUUGGAACAGGACGUCAUAGAGGGUGAGAAUCCCGUAUGUGACUGGGUGCCUUCGCUCAUGUGAAGCUCUUUCGACGAGUCGAGUUGUUUGGGAAUGCAGCUCAAAAUGGGUGGUAAAUUUCAUCUAAAGCUAAAUAUUGGCCAGAGACCGAUAGCGCACAAGUAGAGUGAUCGAAAGAUGAAAAGCACUUUGGGAAGAGAGUUAAACAGUACGUGAAAUUGUUGAAAGGGAAGCGCUUGCAACCAGACUUGCCCGCCGUCGAUCAUCCGGGGUUCUCCCCGGUGCACUCGGCGGCGUUCAGGCAGCAUCGGUUUCGAGGGUGGGAUAAAGGCCUUGGGAAUGUAGCUUCUUUCGGGGAGUGUUAUAGCCCUCGGUGCAAUGCCGCCUCUCGGGACCGAGGACCGCGCUUCGGCUAGGAUGCUGGCGUAAUGGUUGUAAGCGACC
rnacentral:rRNA from 1 species